rnacentral:rRNA from 1 species
GCUCAGAAUGAACGUUGGCGGCGUGGAUUAGGCAUGCAAGUCGAGCGAGAAGCUAUUAAUUGAAGCUUCGGCUGAUUUUUUUAGUGGACAGCGGCGCAUGGGAGAGUAACGCGUGGAGACCUACCCCAGGGUUCGGAAUAGCGUCGGGAAACUGACGGUAAUACCGGAUAUUAUCCCCGGAUGAAAGAUUUAUCGCCCCGGGAGGGCUCCGCGUCCUAUUAGCUUGUUGGUGGGGUAAUGGCCUACCAAGGCAAUGAUGGGUAGCGGGUGUGAGAGCAUGACCCGUCUCACUGGGACUGAAACACUGCCCAGACACCUACGGGUGGCUGCAGUCGAGAAUCUUCGGCAAUGGGCGAAAGCCUGACCGAGCGACGCCGCGUGCGGGAUGAAGGCCUUCGGGUUGUAAACCGCUGUCAGAGGGGAAGAAAGCUUCGGCUUGACUGAUCCUCAGAGGAAGCACGGGCUAAGUUCGUGCCAGCAGCCGCGGUAACACGAACCGUGCGAACGUUAUUCGGAAUCACUGGGCUUAAAGGGUACGUAGGCGGUCUUGCAAGUGGGGUGUGAAAUCCCCCGGCUCAACCGGGGAACUGCGCUCCAAACUGCAAGACUUGAGGGAGAUAGAGGUGAGCGGAACUGAUGGUGGAGCGGUGAAAUGCGUUGAGAUCAUCAGGAACACCAGAGGCGAAGGCGGCUCACUGGAUCUCUUCUGACGCUGAGGUACGAAAGCUAGGGUAGCGAACGGGAUUAGAUACCCCGGUAGUCCUAGCUGUAAACGAUGAGCACUGGGUCGAGGAGCCUUCCACAGUUUCUCGGCCGUAGCGAAAGUGUUAAGUGCUCCGCCUGGGGAGUAUGGUCGCAAGGCUGAACUCA